AAACUUAAAGGAAUUGACGGGGGCCCGCACAAGCGGUGGAGCAUGUGGUUUAAUUCGACGCAACGCGAAGAACCUUACCAGGGCUUGACAUCCCCUGACCGCGUAUGAAAGUACGUUUUCACCCUCGGGUGACAGGGAGACAGGUGGUGCAUGGUUGUCGUCAGCUCGUGUCGUGAGAUGUUGGGUUAAGUCCCGCAACGAGCGCAACCCCUACGUUUAGUUGCUAACGCGUGAAGGCGAGCACUCUAGACGAACUGCCGUUGACAAAACGGAGGAAGGUGGGGAUGACGUCAAAUCAUCAUGCCCCUUAUGUUCUGGGCUACACACGUGCUACAAUGGCUGGUACAAAGGGUUGCCAACCCGCGAGGGGGAGCUAAUCCCAUAAAGCCAGUCGUAGUCCGGAUCGUAGUCUGCAACUCGACUACGUGAAGUCGGAAUCGCUAGUAAUCGUGGAUCAGAAUGUCACGGUGAAUACGUUCCCGGGUCUU
rnacentral:rRNA from 1 species